AUAUAAAGCGCCAUGGAGAUGAUUUCUGGGAGAGAAGCAAAAUAGAGAAUUCUACUGAGAAGACCUGUGGGAUGUACAGCCCUCAAAAUCCAGAAGCAUCGUAGCCUCAGAAAGAACAAAUUAUUUACAACUCAAGCUUCUGCAACAUGAUUCAAGGAACAUUCCCCCCAUCCUGCAGAAGCCUGGCUCUCCCAGAAGCUCAUCUACCCUCCAAGUUGAUCCACUCUGCCAAGACUUGCUGAACUGGAACCUGGAGAGGAUCAGCACCCCCAGGGGGAGCACGUGGUACCUGAGCAAGACCUAUUGCAGAGGGAGUGAAAGGAAACUGAAUCUUGAAAUCCCAAACUCAUUGAGCCAAAGAGAAAAGUCAAGGUGGGACCUGGGCCAUGCAAACUUGCCUUCCCCUUUUGGUUCCAAAAUAAGAUGGCUACACGAUGAAGCUACAUGCCUCCCCCAUAUUUUGCCCACAAGGAAAUUCCUAGUGAGCUGCAAGAUCUUUUAAGGUGUUUCUGUAAAAAUUUCACCAUGGCAGUGUAAAUGGAUAACUCAUGUUCACAGGUGCACCCCAGCCCACCAGACACAAAUGCAUAUCUGAUUGUUCCCUGCCCCAUUGUGUCUAGGUUAUCUUAUGUAACGUGCAGACUCCCUGCAUUUUCCCUCUGCUCCAUUUGUCUGUGUUGUUUUAGGUUAAAAAAAAAUGCAGAUUCACUGAGCCAGACAAAGGCAUGAAUGUUUUUCUCUGUCUCCCUCAUAUAUGAAAAUUGUGCACUUCUCAAUAUCCGGCCCUGUCCCCUUUAAAUUUGGAGCCCUGAAAAUCAUCUUGAGAGAAAGACAUAGACCUGUCUCCCAGGCGUGUGUCCUUAACUUUGGCAAAUAAACCUCCUAAAAAUGAUUGAGCGUUGUCUCAUCAUUUUUCUCAAUUGACAGGGGAGGCUUUCCAAACCAACAGCUCAAGGCCCACGGGGGUCAGAGACAAGAGGACCAAUUGCCAAUUGCUACCACUAGCAGUGACUCAGGGUCCACACUCUGAGACCAAGAGGCCUGAGAGGUCAGCUGUACAAAGAAGGCGGCAAGUGGUAGGAAAAAAUAAAUAAGAAUAAACCAAA